CGCGCGCCUUCUACAGCUGCUCUCCUCUUUCCUACACGCACAUCCGUCAGACGGUGGUGUUUCUUCCUCUUUGCACGUUCUGUCGUCCGUCAGUUUGUGGUUCUCUUUUGUAAAUGCGGAAUAAUGGCUGCGGAUCAGGCUCAGUUUCACCAGCUGCUAAAUUCCCUACUCUCGACCGACAACGAAGUGCGAACCCAGGCCGAGGAAACCUUCAAUAGCCUACCAUGCGAGGGCAAAGUGACACACCUGCUGGGAGCGGUCCAAAAUCCGCAGAUGACCGAAGAAGCGCGGAUGAUGGCAACUGUCCUGUUGAGACGGCUAUUCUCCGCUGAGUUCCAGGACUUCUAUAACCCGCUGCCACCGGAAUCGAAAGAACAGCUGAAGCAGCAGGUACUGCUGACGCUGCAACAGAACGAAAGUCCCAGCAUGCGUCGCAAAAUCUGCGAGGUAGUGGCCGAAGUUGCGCGCAACCUUAUCGACGACGACGGCAACAACCAGUGGCCGGAGUUCCUACAGUUUUUGUUCCAGUGUGCCAGCGCUCCUAACGUGCAGCUGCAAGAAUCGGCGCUUCGAAUCUUCUCGUCGGUGCCCGGAAUCUUCGGCAAUCAACAGAAUCAGCACUUGCAGUUGAUCAAGCAAAUGCUCAUCAAGUAUUUGGAUCCAUCAUCCGAUCCGGAAGUACGUUUCCAGGCAGUCCGUGCCGUUGGUGCAUUCAUCCUGUUGCAUGAUAAAGAAGACGAUGUCCAACGCCAGUUCAACGACUUGUUGCCACGCGUUAUUAUGAUCACAGCGGAGAGUAUCGAUCAGCAAGACGAUCAAACCCUGAUCAAAUUGUUGAUCGAUAUGGCCGAGAGCGUGCCGAAAUAUCUGCGCCCGCAGCUCGAGUCUAUCUUUGAUAUGUGCAUGAAAGUUUUCAGCAGUCCAGACGUCGAAGAUAGCUGGCGGCAUUUGGCUCUGGAAGUCAUGGUUUCUCUAUCGGAAAAUGCUCCAGCAAUGGUCCGUAAGCGUGCUGAAAAGUAUGUCACUUCAUUGAUACCUCUUGUGCUGCAAAUGAUGACCGACCUCGAGGAUGACGAGGAAUGGUCGGUGUCAGAUGAAAUCUGUGAAGAUGACACUAGCGACAACAACGUCAUCGCCGAGUCAGCAUUGGAUCGCCUUGCUUGCGGCCUUGGUGGAAAGGCAGUUUUGCCACAUAUCGUUAACAACAUUCCAAACAUGUUGAGUAGCCCGGAUUGGAAGCAACGGCACGCGGCCCUGAUGGCCAUUUCGGCCGCAGGCGAGGGAUGUCACAAACAGAUGGAAGCCAUGCUGGAGAACAUCAUGCAGGGAGUGCUCAAGUUCCUGAUGGAUCCUCACCCGAGAGUUCGUUACGCUGCGUGUAAUGCCAUUGGACAGAUGGCCACGGAUUUCGCCCCCAUUUUCGAGAAAAAGUUUCACGAACAAGUCAUUCCCGGGCUGUUGAGCUUAUUGGACGAUGUGCAGAAUCCACGUGUACAGGCUCAUGCAGGUGCAGCAUUGGUCAACUUCAGCGAAGAUUGCCCGAAGAAUAUCCUCACCCGGUACUUGGAUGGUAUUAUGGCUAAGCUGGAGAACAUCCUCACUACCAAGUUCAAUGAGUUGGUUGAAAAGGGCACCAAAUUGGUCCUGGAGCAAGUAGUGACCACCAUAGCAUCGGUUGCUGAUACAACCGAGAAGGACUUUGUUGGUUACUACGAUCGUUUAAUGCCCUGUCUGAAGUACAUCAUCCAAAAUGGUAACACCGAGGAACUCCGCCUGCUUCGUGGCAAAACUAUUGAAUGCGUCUCACUGAUCGGUUUGGCUGUCGGAGCGGAGAAGUUCAUGUCCGACGCGUCGGAUGUGAUGGACAUGCUGUUGAAAACACACACCGAAGGUGACCUGCCCGAUGAUGACCCUCAGACAUCGUAUCUGAUUUCGGCCUGGGCACGUAUCUGCAAAAUUUUAGGCAAACAAUUUGAGCAGUACUUGCCGCUGGUUAUGGGACCGGUUAUGCGAACUGCAUCCAUGAAGCCGGAAGUUGCUCUGUUGGAUAAUGAUGAAGUUCAGGACGUGGAAAGUGACAAUGACUGGCAAUUUGUCAAUUUGGGCGAACAGCAAAACUUCGGAAUACGUACGGCUGGCUUGGAGGAUAAAGCAUCAGCCUGUGAGAUGUUGGUAUGCUAUGCACGUGAGUUAAAGGAUGGAUUCGCGAACUAUGCCGAAGAAGUGGUUCGUCUCAUGGUACCAAUGUUAAAGUUCUAUUUCCAUGACGGGGUUCGCACAGCAGCUGCCGAAUCGUUGCCCUACCUGCUUGACUGCGCUAAGAUUAAAGGACCAACAUAUUUGGAAGGCAUGUGGCUGUACAUUUGCCCAGAACUCCUGAAAGCUAUUGAUUCCGAGCCCGAGGCAGACGUCCAAGCCGAGCUUUUGCAUUCAUUAGCAAAAUGUAUCGAGACCCUAGGCGCCGCUUGCCUCUCGAAGGAAACCAUGGAUGAAGUACUCAAAAUCAUUGACAAAUUCAUGAAUCUGCAUUUCCAAAAGGAAGAAAAACGCGCCCUGGCACGCAAAGAAGAGGACUACGAUGAAGGUGUCGAGGAACAGCUGGCUGAAGAGGACGACGCUGACAUCUAUCUGCUGUCCCGAAUCUCCGAUAUUGUGCAUUCGUUGUUCCUGAGUUACAAGGAAGGAUUUCUGCCGUACUUCCAGCAAGUCGUUCCCCACUUUGUCAAACUGCUAGACCCAUCGAGGACGUGGGCUGACCGACAGUGGGGAUUGUGCAUAUUUGACGACCUAAUCGAAUACAGCGGCCCUAAUUGCGCCCAAUAUCAGGCUUACUUCAUGCAACCAAUGCUAGAAUACGUCAAGGAUCCACAACCGGAAGUAAGGCAAGCAGCAGUCUAUGGAUGCGGUGUUUUGGCACAGUUUGGUGGCGAUCAGUUUUCGAUAACAUGUGCUCAGGCCGUUCAGUUACUGGUGGAGGUUAUUAUGACGCCGGGCAGUCGUGAACCAGAAAAUGUGAAUCCCACGGAAAAUGCCAUCUCUGCUGUAACCAAGAUUUUGAAAUACAACAACAAAGCUAUUCCCAACAUCGACGAGAUCAUCGCACUUUGGUUCUCCUGGCUGCCAGUUGUAGAAGACGAUGACGAAGCCAUCCACGUGUAUGGCUACCUGUGCGAUCUUAUCCAGGCAAACCACCCGGCGGUGCUUGGUGAAAACAAUUCAAAUCUGCCUCGCAUUGUGUCCAUCUUUGCCGAGGCGUUUUACCGGGAGGCAAUGUCCGUUGGACAUCCAGAAUCGACGCGGAUGCUGGCUAUCGUGAAGCAGAUCGAAUCCAGUCCGGAUAUUCUCCAGGCUUGUAUAAACCAGCUGACGGCGGAACAGAAAGCAGCUCUCGAGGAAGCGUAUCGAACUGCUGCCGUUUCACAGUAAGAAAAUGGAGCGGGCUUGUCGGUCGCAGAUAGAUGUUUAGGGAAAAAAGAGAACGAGAGUGAGAAUAGGAUACGGUGUGCGAGAAAAAUUGUGAGAUCAAAUAGGACCAUUCGCGAGGUUGACGACCAAUGGGCAGGAAGGGGCGCAAAACAUGGGCUUAUUCUGCGAGUCGGGUGCUGCCGAACUAGUCGAAAUAAGCCCAUUUUGGUGUAUUUCUUAGAAUUAUGUCGCUGACCUUCGAUGAGAUAACAGUUUACAAUUUACAAUUAACCACAAGGAUCGCCUGGCUAUAGGCCAAUAAAUUACCGCAAAAGGCAGCAACACGACGCGAUAUUACACAGCACAUCAUAUUAAUACAUCCUUCAAUAAUUCGGAAAAAUAUUGAAUUGGGAGAAUAUUAUAUAUACAAAAUAUAUAGCUGUUUCUCUACAGUACCUAGUGUGUAUUACCAAGAUCUAUAUUUUGCAAUUAUUUAAUCACAAUUGUAAUCUUUUUCUUUAUCGAUUAUAUAUUUACCAUUUUAGGACGAUUCUACUGUUACUAAUUUCCACCUGAAUGAAAAAAAAACGCAUUAGUUUUAUUAUAUCUUUUUUUUAAAUUCAGAUCUGCCUUUAUCGCCUCGAUGUUAGCAGGUUUCAAUGUUUGAGUUCUUAAAAGAUGCUUUCAUCACCAUUUCAUUUGUGAUCUUCAAACACGUCCGAUAUCCAAGUAAUUCGUGUCGUAUUCCUGGAAGACGUGGCCAGCGUCUUCAAAUUCUUUUUGGACGAAACCGUGACUUAGCACAGAGAUUAAAUUGCACCACUGUAAUACGCAAAAAAGCAUUGGCUUAAAAAAGGUGCAUUAGAAAUAAAAGUACGCUUUUUAUUAGUUCCAUUUAAAUGUACAUAUAUUCAAGAAAAGUGUGUUUCACACGAGGCAACCAUCGUGAAAAAAAUAUGUCAAACAAAAGUGCUUUACUUUAAUGAAUGAGUGCUUAUCUUCUGUUGACGAAUGCUGUUAUUUCCCAAGGAAACUGAACUUAAAGUGCUUUGACGGUCCUGCGUCAUUUUUUUUCUGUGAAAAUUACCUUUUUUAUUGGGCACUGUUUGGUUCAGAAAUUAUAGUUGCAAUUGUUUAUCCAAACUGAGACACAAAAGAAUCACACGUUCUAGUAGACAAGGUAUUUAACAAAAGAGAUUCUCUCAAUGGCCUUGUCCAUCUUUCUCCUGUUGGCCUUGGUGUAUGAAUCAGUAGACAGCUACGAAGAAAAACUUCAGCGUGAAACAGUAACAGAAACUUUCAAAUUUAAGCACAUUUUCCAUAUUCGAAAAGGGCAACAAACCUACUGAGAAUAAAAUGAUAUUCUAUUAUUGAAA